AUGACUGGCCCUAAGAGAGGCAUCGAGCUGGUCUCCCCUGUUCUAAUAGAGUUUGAUAUAAGGAUCAAGAAUGGAGAGCGAGAGGAAGACGAUGAACAGCUGAUAGACAGAGCGAUAACCUGCAACGACCGCAGGGCAUGGAAACCAGUCAAGCAGUGCAUCAAAGGCGAUUGCGGCGCCGUCGACAUAUCCAUGGCGUGCGUUGGAGGCGACAAUAGAGGUAGUCAUAUCAGAAGUGCGAAGUGGUUUCAGUCUAUCUAUGCAGUCCUUCGUUUGUGUCUUGGAGGACGAGUACGAGGAGAUUCAGCUCUUUCAUGGCACCAUGGUUCGUGCUCGCCGUCACCUGGGGCGACGUGA
rnacentral:rRNA from 1 species